GACGAACGCUGGCGGCGGGCUUAACACAUGCAAGUCGAACGGAAAGGCCCUGCUUUUUGGGGUGCUCGAGUGGCGAACGGGUGAGUAACACGUGAGUAACCUGCCCUUGACUUUGGGAUAACUUCAGGAAACUGGGGCUAAUACCGGAUAGGAGCUCCUGCUGCAUGGGGGGGGUUGGAAAGUUUCGGCGGUUGGGGAUGGACUCGCGGCUUAUCAGCUUGUUGGUGGGGUAGUGGCUUACCAAGGCUUUGACGGGUAGCCGGCCUGAGAGGGUGACCGGCCACAUUGGGACUGAGAUACGGCCCAGACUCCUACGGGAGGCAGCAGUGGGGAAUAUUGCACAAUGGGCGGAAGCCUGAUGCAGCAACGCCGCGUGCGGGAUGACGGCCUUCGGGUUGUAAACCGCUUUCGCCUGUGACGAAGCGUGAGUGGCGGUAAUGGGUAAAGAAGCACCGGCUAACUACGUG
rnacentral:rRNA from 1 species